rnacentral:ncRNA from 1 species
CAGUGGGUGCAAGUCUCACCCGGCGACCGCUCCAGCGGGAAGCAAUCGGGGCAGGCAUGGAGGAGAUGACAUGUUUGAAGCCUUCGAUUUAGCGGGUCACGAAAUUGGUGCCCGCGCGAGUGUGCAGGCCGCAACGCGA